CGGAGAGUAAAAAUUAAAGAAACGAAGGGGAAGGCGAGCAGAAAAGGAGCCGACGGAACGACGUCCAAAGAGGUCUUCACAAAGUUUGACUUCGUUACUGAAGUUAAAGUCCUUGGAGGUUAGCUAUCCUCGCCGUUCCAGCUUCAAAGAGGUCUUCAUCCCCCGCCGGUCGCCGUCGCCGGCAAAAAUGUCCGGCGGUUCUCAGUUCUCUCGCAUUUCCAGUCUGAUCGAUCUCCAUCUUCGACCGUGCGCUGUAAUCGAAGUUUCUUCCGUAAGCAAAGAAGAGGAGAGGAAUCUAUUGAUCGCUCUCUCCAAGGUUUUGAGAGAAAUUCGGCUCUGGACCGGUGAAGAAAUUGAUGUGUCCUCUGAUGGCGACGCGGAGGCAAAAUCAGUUACCCAGAUUGCGGAUUCAGGUGAAUUUGCUCUCAACUCUGAGGAACAAAUCUUUUUGGGCAAAACUGUUGGUGAUUUGAUGCGUUUUCUAAUGGUUCACAGUCAACAUGUUCAGCAUUUGACAGGCAAUGUCCUUUUGGCAAUUUCCGAGCUUUUGUCUGCCUAUGGAAAAGGAUGGGGCUUCUUUGUGCAUUUAUUGUUUGUUUAUGCUGAACUGUCAAUAGGAAACAUUCACCCGUGUUCUUCUGUUACCAUAACAAGGGAACAUGAAGAUUUAUAUGGUGUUUCAGAAAGUCAUGAUCCUGCCAUCAAAUCGAAGCUGCAAAAGGCCAACUGGUCCACUGUGGCUGGAAUUUUUCAGGUCUUGCGCUGCAUUUGGAAAUAUUUGAAGCAAGAUUUUAAGGAUCAGUUAGUUGAUUCGUACUUAAAUUCUCUGAAUUCCUUUAUUUCACAUAUACCUUGGAAUUUAUUGGAUGAUGCUAAUGUUGGUCCAAAGUGUGCUCACAUGGGUCCCCAAAUGCCGAAGUUCAUAUUUCUUGGAUAUUUUACUCAGUUACUGAGUUCAGUGAUGGAGCAAGUCGAUAAUAAAAAGGUUCAACAUGGUUCUGUUAAUGGGCAUCAACUUCUUUUCUCCAUUACCAAACUUGUUCCCAGUUUGUUCCUAUGUUGUCUUGGCAAGGAAGAAGAACAUGAUGAUGCUCGCAUCUAUUUAUACUUCAGACAUAAGCUGUUGAUGCUGAUGACUAGGCUCAGUGGCCAGGGCCUGGAGGGCUCUGUUCUCAUCCUAUGGUUGCAGCUUCUGCAUAAAUACUUUCAAGAUCUUAUGUCAGAACAAAUAAGUAUGGUUGAGCCUGUCAGAGAUGACAGUUUAGAAGGCUCCCCUUUUUCAGCAAGCAUGUUUGAGGAAAACAUUCAAGGUACCAAUCUGUACCACUUAAAGAGGCAGGCUAUUUUCCUUUUCAUCAGGUGUUCGUUGAGUUUGAUUUUCAAUGAAGAGGUGGUUGAUCAGCAAUGCGAAUGCCUAUCUACAAAACCAUGUUUAAGUUCACAUCCAGAAUAUUGCAGUCAUAAGAAAGUUCUAGAAGAGCUUUAUAAGUGGCUCUGUCAGAACCUUCAGCACGAUACCCAUCGAGGCAGUGAAUUAUACAUUGAGGAGUGCAUGCAUUUUGGCUCAUCCUUCAUUCAGCUAUAUGCCCAGGAGGAUGACCUUCUAUUUAAAGUGCUCUUGGAAGUGCUUUGCAUUCCGAUUCCUGGAUCUGAAAAGUUUGAUGAAGUAAAAGGGAGAACCCCAGACUCGCAGGAAAAUAUUCUUAUGCACCUUUCAAAUCUUUUUAAUCCUUUAAACUUAUUCCACUCAUUCCUUGCAGAGAUAAAAUAUGAUCAUCAGGUGCUUCUUGAUUACCUCAUAUCUAAGGACACAGGAAUCAGUUGUGCAGAAUAUCUUCUACGGUGCCUGCGACUGAUCUCUGAAUCAUGGGAAGCAUUCUUACAAUUUUCAUAUGUGCGGAGUGCAAAGAAAUGGUCGUCAAAUAAGGAAAGAAAAAUUUCCCGUCAGAAGGUAAAUUUUCAUCUGGAGCCAUAUGGCACUGGAAAAUUCAGACAUGGGCAUAAACUCGAAGGAACCAGAGGAAAGCCAUUUGACAAAGCUAAACUAUGUUUGCUGUCCUUAAAAUAUUCAGUGGAAAGUCUCCAUCAGAAAAAAUUGUUUCCUUAUAACCCUAAAGUUCUUCUGAGACGUCUAACAGAAUUCCUGGAACUAUGUUUUAACAAGGGAUGUAUGGGAAGAGUGGGUGAGGGGAAGUUGACAUAAGAGAUUGAAGGCAUCAUUUUUUUGAGAGUUACACUUUGAGGAUGGCAAGAAUGAGAUGCAUUUCCUGAUACAUUUGCCCACUCCAGCACUUGCAAUGGAAGGGCAUAAUACCAAUAAGACACCUUUUAUGUAAGUGGCUGAUAAAGGAAGAUCGUAAUUUUUCCUUAUGUUGAGUACUGUGCUUCUGAAGAUUUUUCAGGUCAGUAACAUUGGGUGUUUCAAUUUGUUGCAGAGGACUCACCACUUCAUUAUUUCCAAUAUACACUGAGUUGGUCUAAGAAGAAGCAAAUAGAAAGGAAGACGGGGUCGGCAAAAAACAAAAAAAAGAUGAAAGGGGAAUAACCGAGAAAGAGAGAGAGAGAGAGAGAGAGGAGUCAGGGAAUUUCAGAGGUGCUGGGGCCAUCUUGACGUGUCAAAUUUACACCAUUUUGAAGUGCUCGGUAAGAAUUCAAACUUUGUCAUACUUAAUUGAAGAGGUGGUCGGUUAAUGCUGGAAUUUCUGAGUUAGU